GGCUGUGGGGAUGACAGAGCAAGAGCUGGAAACAAACAUCAGUGAAGAAUGAAGGCUUUAGUAUGUAUACCGCUGCUGUUGGAAACCUUUGUGUUUGUCAUCCAGCAGCAGGUAGAUGGAGGACUCAAUGAGAAUGAGAUCAGUCAACAGAUCAGCUCUGAGGACGGAAGACAGAAUCCACCUCAAACAGACACUUUGAGAGCUGAAGCUUCAACUGACAGCCAACAAUACUGUGAUCUGGGCAUCCCUGACAUCCAUGCAGCACUGAGAGAACUGACCGCCACCGUUACAGAGCAGAAAGGAAACAUCAGAGAACUGACCGCCACCGUUACAGAGCAGAAAGAAAACAUCAGAGAACUGACCGCCACCGUUACAGAGCAGAAAGGAAACAUCCGAGAACUAACCACCACCGUAACAGAGCAGAAAGAAAACAUCAGAGAACUGACCGCCACCGUUACAGAGCAGAAAGGAAACAUCAGAGAACUGACCGCCACCGUUACAGAGCAGAAAGCAAACAUCAGAGAACUGACCGGCACCAUUACAGAGCAGAAAGAAAACAACAGAGAACUGACCGCCACCGUUACAGAGCAGAAAGAAAACAUCAGAGCUUUAGAGAUGCAACUGAUUGAUGAGAUGAACAAGAAAAAUGAAGAGCAGAAAGGAAACAUCAGAGAACUGACCGCCACCGUUACAGAGCAGAAAGAAAACAUCAGAGAACUGACCGCCACCGUUACAGAGCAGAAAGGAAACAUCCGAGAACUAACCACCACCGUAACAGAGCAGAAAGAAAACAUCAGAGAACUGACCGCCACCGUUACAGAGCAGAAAGGAAACAUCAGAGAACUGACCGCCACCGUUACAGAGCAGAAAGCAAACAUCAGAGAACUGACCGGCACCAUUACAGAGCAGAAAGAAAACAACAGAGAACUGACCGCCACCGUUACAGAGCAGAAAGAAAACAUCAGAGCUUUAGAGAUGCAACUGAUUGAUGAGAUGAACAAGAAAAAUGAAGAAAUUUCAAAUCUUACUCUGAGUCAAGUGGAGUUGAGAAAGGAAAAUAGAGACAGAGAAAUAGCUUUUUCAGCUGCACUGAUGCAAUCUGGCAGUGGAUAUAUUGGUCCUUUAACCACUGAAAUCACACUUACCUACAGGAACGUCUUCACAAACAUAGGGAACGCCUACAACCCAAUUACAGGUGUUUUCACAGCCCCACUGAAAGGAGCUUACAUGUUCAGAGUCUCUGUAUGUGGUAUUGGCCCAACUGCAUCAGGUGCGUCCAUUUUUAAGAAUGGAGAGCGGGUGGUUGUAGCAUAUGCCCAUCAGGCUCAGAAUGUGUUAAACUCUUUGAAUGGAGUUGUGUUGAUCCUGGAGGUUGGAGAUGUUGUCUAUGUGAGACUGUACCCUAACACAAGGAUAUAUGAUAACGGGAAUAACUACAACACUUUCAAUGGUUUCCUACUGUUUCCCUUAAGAUAACAGGAGCUUUGCUAAAAAUGUGAUUCCAAUAACUCUGAAAGUUAAGUGUAUGAUUUAAGAUGAAAAUCAUGAAGAAUCAUUAACAUAUGAACCUGUAUUAAUGAGGACUAAUGUGUGUUUGGAAUUUGCAUAAGCUGUAUUCAUGUAAGUUUGUAUAAAGAGUUUCAGCACUGAGACAGACGGGACGAAUAUCACAUGUGACUCAAUAGUAGGGCUGUAAUGACUUAUUGAUUAAAUUGUAGUACUCUGUUUAAAAAAAAAUCCUUGCAAUUUACCUGUGUCGAGUAACUGGCAAAAAAAGAAGUGGCACAUAUCUACGGACGAGAAUCCAUGAACCGCAUUAUUGGACCAUUUUGUAAGGCUGCACAAUAUAUUAAAACCUUCGAAAAACCGCAUAGCAUAGUGUCAUUGAGUGUUCAGAAAGACUGUGAUUCAAUUAAUUAAAUAAAUAUAUCUCCUGCAGGUGUGCUUUAGUUAUUUCCAUGUGUGUAGGUUACAUGCAGUGUUGCCAAGUCCGUGGGUUUCCGCAGAAUUGGGCUACUUUAACACUGUUGCCGUGGGUUGUUUUUCAUAUUAUAAUGCUAAAAAUCAGUUGAAACUGUCAUUAUGUCUGUGGUCUCCCAGUUUUAAAAUCGGUUAAGAUCUGAAAAUCGUCUAGUGUGUCCCAGGACUAACAUGAUAUUUAGCCCCUGAAAUGCAAAUUUUACAUAGGGGAAUCCCGCCAAAAAGUGUUUUUUACCCCCCGGAAUGUGUUUUUUACACUCCUAAAUAUGCAAACUGGUAAUCGUGGUUUCAAAAUAAAAGCAAUUUUAUUGGUCAAAAUUACUGAUUUUGUGUUGACAAUUUCCAGAACUUAUUCAUGUUUUAUUUCUAAUUAGGACACCACAAUUACAAGAUUAUGUAUUACCCGUACAAAAAUGUAGAUAAAAAAUAAACGAUAGACAUUUAGGCAUGGCACUGAAGGGCUGGAUUCUGAAAUCCACUGCCGCUUCAGAUGUACAGUUGCAAGAAAAAGUAUGUGAACCACUUGCAGAAUCUGUGAAAAUGUUAAUAAUUUUAACAAAAUAAGGGAGAUAAUAUUAGAGAUAAUACAGGCCAAGCGUCAUAAACUCCCUCCCUAUCAACACAAGCCAACCAAUCCCAUCAUCACGUCAGAUGAUCCAGCAGACAUCUUUCUCACAUUCUAUCCCAAAUCACUACGGGAUAUCACCCUGGAAAUGUCAAAUUUAUAUGCAGCACAGAAAGGUGCCACCCUCAAUCUGACUGAUGAAGAGCUCCUAACAUUCUAUGGCAUUCUUUUGACCACUGCCUACAACUCAGUCCCAAGACGACGUCUUCUUUGGUCAGAUGACAAUGAUGUGAACAACAAAAGCAUUAAAGAGGCCAUGCGGAGGAACAGAUUUGAUGAGAUAAUGGCUUCCGUUCAUGUUGUGGAUAACAUGAAAGUCACAGAUGACCCUUUCUUCAAGGUGCGUCCUGUGUUUGAGGAGCUGAAUAAAGUCAACAAAACCAUGACUAUUCAGGAAUAUCUGGCAGUGGAUGAGAUGAUGAUUGAGUACUUUGGUAGGCAUGGAUGCAAGCAGUUUAUCAGGGGGAAGCCCAUUCGCUUUGGUUUCAAGAUCUGGAGUCUUGCAUCCUCAUCUGGAUUUGUCUACCAGAUGGAACCAUAUGCAGGUAGCCACACUCGUCUCGUUGAAACUGGACUGGGUCAGGGUCCAAGUGUGGUUCUUCGCUUGGCAGAGAAAGCUGGAGUGCCACCUGGAUGCAAGUUCUAUCAUGACAACCUAUUCACAACACUCACCCUGGUUGAUGAGAUGACCAAAAGGGGCUACGGCAGCUGUGGCACACUUCGGGAGAAUCGUCUCUUUGAUAUCCCACUAACACCAGCAAAGAGCUUCCGGAAGACCUCAAGAGGUAAUGCAGAAUUCCUUAUUGAAGAUGGAAAACUGAUCGUGAGAUGGAAUGACAAUAGCGUGGUCACUGUUGUGACCAAUAUGGAGAAUAAGUACUCCGAUGUUGACACUCAACGAUGGAACAAACAGAAACACGCAAUGGAUAAAGUGAAACAGCCUACAUGUAUAAAGAGCCACAACACACAUAUGGGAGGUGUUGACCUGCACGACCAAUGUGUGAACCGUUACCGGACUGGCAUUCGAUCAAAGAAGUGGUAGUGGCCAUGCUACAGUUGGGCACUCAAUAGUGCUAUGGUCAAUGCCUGGUGUUAUUACAGGUCAUGUAAAGGGGGAGACAGAGAUCUUCUCUCCUUCCAAAGGCUGGUUGCCCAGAGUCUACUCCAGCGCCAUGGGAUGAGGCCACAGGGGCAUGGAAGAAGGUCAGUGUUGGGCUCUGCAAUAUGUGAGGCUGCCAGAUUUGACAACUUGAACCACUGGCCCCACAACACAGGAAGAAAGUACAUGAGUUGUCGAAGAUGUGAUGGACGCACUUCCUUUGCAUGUGAGAAAUGCAGUGUUGCCUUGCAUAUUGAGUGCUUCAGGAAAUUUCAUGCCAACCACUAAAAUCUACCCAGGAGAGAGAGGAGUGGAGGGAGAAGAGAGAUAGAAAAGGGGAGUGGGUAGGAGACGUAUUACAUAACUUCCCAUUCCGAAUGUCUUUAAAAAUAAUUCUGUAUGCACUGUUAUUUUUGUUAUUUUGUUGUUGUUGUUUUUGUUAUAUAGAUGUUUUUUUUUUUUUUAUUAAUUCUAUUUGUUUUUAUUUAUUUAUUUUCAUUUAACUUUUUUGAUAUACAAUGCCCUGUUGGGGCAGCUUAAUGGCUGCACUUUGUUCUGCACUAUGUUCCACCACUUUAAGACAAAUGGAUUUGUUGUUCGUUGUGUUUUCAUAUUGAAGAGAUUAUAAGCUAGAUGCAGCUUUUUUGGGUUUGCAUCGAAUGUUCUUUGACUUUUCUACAUAAUAAAUGUGUUUAUGAAUAAAGAUUGAUCUGUUGAAAACAGU